UCCGCCCUCACUCACCCCCUUCCCCCAACACCCCCUGUUCGUGAAUCACUAUCUCUGAACUCAAGCAAAGUUCAAAAUCAACCAACCAAAACCCUACGUUCUCCCUGCAACGGUUCUGAGACAGUGUCGCCGCCGUCCGUGCUGUCGGCGCCUCCGCUCCUCUCUUGUAGCCCAGGCCCUCUCUUGUAUCUCGGCGUCCUCCUUCCCGCUGUCCCCGUCCUCCCUGGCUUCUCUGUUCGAGGUUGGAGUAGCUCGCCGCCGUGUCGCCGCUCGCCGUUCGUGUCUCCACCGAAGUUGUCAAUGUUCUUUAUCAGAACUGAGAAGGAAAAUGGCAAUCAAAAGGAUUUCCACAGCGUCAGCGCGUGCUCACACUCGCAGGAACAAGAAAACUAACUCUUUUUCUGCCCUCUGUUAAAUCGGUUGAAUCAGUAAAUCAGUAAACCAAUGACUGGAGCGGUUCAAUGACUGGUUCGGUUCUCAGAACCUUGCGGUCCAAACAAAAUAGAAUUCCCUAAACAAGAGAUAGACUACAGUACAGACGCCAGAUGCCGUUGAGAGUUGAGAAACACCAACUCUAACUAGCCAACCCUGCGUUUCUUCUUUGAAUUCCCAGAUGAGAAGCAGCAGCAGAAUACUUGUAAAGCUCCUCAAACGACAUUCACACACUGCCACGUCAUCAUCACGAUUCUCCACUCCCCCUCCCCACGAAGUCGUCGAACCCUUCUACGACCUCUCAGACGUCGUCGUUUCAGCCUCCCGUGACCCUCCUUCCCCAUCCCCAUGGCUCCCCCAAAUCCUCUCCCUCCUCGACGGUUCCCCUUCCAUGGAAUCCAACCUCACCUCCUUCUGCAACAAAUUCCUCAUCAUUCUCUCCCCCAACUUCGUCUCCCACACCCUCCGCUCCCUCACCAACCAACCCCUCCUCGCCACGCGCUUCUUCCACUGGGCUCACUCUCAACCUAGCUAUUCCCACUCCCUUCAUUCCUACGUCUCUCUCAUCGAAACCCUCUCCUUUUCUUCAUCCUUCGAUUCCACUGUGUUCCAGAACAUUCUACAAGAAUUCAAGUGCCGGAAGUUUAAAUUAACUGCCGCCGCCGUUAACUCCUUGCUCAGGAGCUUUGCCGCGGUUGGCAUGGUGGAGGAGCUGUUGUGGAUGUGGCGGAACAUGAAGGAGGAUGGCCUUGAGCCGAGUUUGUAUAAUUUCAAUUCGUUGAUGAACGGAUUGGUUAAUGCCGGUAUGGUGGAAUCGGCGGUUAGGGUUUUCGAGGCGAUGAGGGAGGUUAAUGUGAGGCCGGAUUCGGUUAGUUACAAUACGGUUAUUAAAGGGUAUUGUAAGGUUGGGAAAACUAGGAAGGCCUUGGAGAUGAUUAGGGAGAUGGAGGCUGGGGAUGAUGGUGGUAAUGUGGGGCCGGAUAAGGUUAGUUACAUGACAGUUAUGCAGGCGUGUUAUGGCGAAGGGGAUGUGGAUUGUUGUGUGCGGCUUUAUCAUGAGAUGAAGGAGAAGGGGUUGGUGGUUCCUCCGCAUGCUUAUAGUUUGGUGGUGUGUGGACUUUGCAGGCAAGGGAAGGUUGUUGAGGGUCUCAAUGUGUUUGAAGAGAUGAGAAGGGAUAGUUGCGGAGCCAAUAAGGCGGUGUACACGGCGUUGAUUGAUGGUUAUGCGAAGACUGGGAAUGUUGACGGGGCGAUGAGGUUGUUUGAGAGGAUGAGACAGGAGGGGAUUAAACCGGAUGAAGUUACUUAUGGGGCGAUUGUUAAUGGUUUGUGUAAGGGUGGGAGAGUGGAGGAAGCUUUGGGUUAUUUAGAGUUUUGUAAAGAGAAUGGUGUUAUGGUGAAUGCGGUAUUUUACUCGAGUUUGAUUGAUGGCCUUGGGAAGGCUGGGAGAGUUGAUGAAGCCGAGAAGUUGUUUUAUGAGAUGGUUGAUAAGGGGUGCCCCCCGGAUUCUUAUUGCUAUAAUGCACUUAUCGAUGGAUGGUGUAAAGAUGGGAGGAUUGAUGAAGCAUUGGCACUGUUUCAACGGAUGGAGGAGGAAGGUUGCGAGCAGACUGUGUAUACGUAUACCAUACUUAUCAGUGAGCUUUUUAAAGUGCACAGGAAUGAAGAGGCAUUGAAAUUAUGGGACAUGAUGAUAGAUAAGGGCAUAACACCAAAUGUUGCUUGCUUUAGGGCUCUUUCAAUUGGACUCUGUCUUUCGGGCAAGGUAGCGAGAGCUUGUAAGAUCUUGGAUGAGCUGGCACCCAUGGGGAUUGUUCUUGAAACAGCUUAUGAAGACAUGAUUAACGUGUUGUGCAAAGCCGGACGGGUGAAGGAAGCCUGCAAGUUAGCUGAUGGGAUUGUGGACAGAGGUAGAGAAAUUCCUGGAAAAGUUAGAACAUUGAUGAUUAAUGCGUUGAGGAAGGCUGGUAAUGCAGAUUUGGCUAUAAGGCUGAUGCAUAGCAAGAUUGGUAUUGGGUAUGACCGGAUGCGUAGUGUUAAAAAGAGAGUGAAGUUCCAAACCCUUAUUGGCAGCUGACUCUGUUUUUCGCCAGUCUUAUGUCCAUGCCAUCCAGUUGGAUGAUAAGAUGGUCUUUGAUUUGGUUGAAAGUGGAAGUAUCUCAUAAACCAACCUUCAUUUAGGAAGGUACUCUUCGUUAAUAAUGAAUUCUAUUUUCUUGCAAAUCCUUUCAUGAAUUUUUGGAGGCUGUUUGACCACAUCCAAUUGUUUAUAUUCUAUAACUAUCUGUGAUAUUGUCUUCGGGUUUUUCUAUAUGUAAGGGAGUUGAACAAUUUCGACAAGCUUUGGAUAUUUCAUCACAAUGUGUGCUUGCACAAUAUGAACUUGCUUUUGGGGCUCCUUUGUUUAGCAAAAGAUUGCAUGAAGUUGGGACCAUUUAUGUGGGGGGCUUCUUUGUUAGAGGUUUUAUAGAAAUUGUUUGGAUGCUGUGGCAUUCGUUUUUAAGUUCAAAUAAAAUCUUCCAUUUAAGCAACUUUCAGUAACCCUUGAAUUGACUGCAGGAAGCAUCUGAGGUUGCAAGAGCAAGUGCUUAUUCUGUUAGGAAUGUCUCAUGUAUUGGGAAAUUAUAUGUUGAUGUUCAGGUAUCAUUUGUUUUGUUAGUAUUAAAAGGAUUUCUUUGUUUUCAACAUUUUAUAUUUUCAGGCAUAUGUUGGUGUCAUGGCAUGGACGUGGAUCUUCUUCUCUGAGGCCAAUUCUCCUUGAAGAUUGAGUGUGCCUUAAAUGCUCCAUUAAAGAGUUGUGUAAGACAUGAUUCAGGAACUAGAUAAGAACAUUCAGAAAAUAUACUGCAGCAUUGCUAUCGGUUGCAUUGCUGAGGCUUGCUUGGAUUGACCGACUACCCUUGCCAGAUAUAUGAAAAGUAGUCUGAAAGAAGUUUACAUGUCAAAGAUAGGUAGUUAAUGCAGUUAUGUGUAUUUCAGUUUAUAUGUUUAUGCCUAGCUAUGAAGAUGGAAACUAAUAAGCUAAAGCCUUAUCUCGGCUGUCAAACCCGUGAGUUGUAAUUAUUGAACCAAAUAAUUUUGACAGUUGCAAUUUGGUUUUGAAAAUUGCACCAGACAAUAAUACUACUACUUUUCAUAAGUCAAAAGUUAAAAAAAGUUACUUCUAAAGUUUCCCAAACGGGCCCUAAGAGUUAUAAUACCAGGAAGUUCAUUACCACGGAGGUAUGACCUUCGUUAUAAAGUAGCCCGCGCGUAUGCGCGAGUCAUACACUAGUUGCAUAAAAUUGACACACAAGUUUAUAUAAAAAAGCAAUAAUACAUGAAUUAGGUGUUCUUUGAUCCAAACACAUAAAAAUGCAUAAUUAAAAGAACAAAUAAGUAGUUGAUAUAGAUUAGACAGCU